rnacentral:lncRNA from 1 species
AUCAGAAGACUGGUAAACCUGGAGCCUCAUCCCAAGAGGUGAUGGUGUCUGGGUUUAUUAUGGAUCGCAGGAUGUAACUAUCAAUCUGGAGCUUUAGGGGGAAGAAGAAAGAAUAUUUUGAACCACACCAGGAGAAUUACCCUAGAGAAUAUAAGUUCACCUGCCAAAAUGGGAGGCUGGCAUCUUUUUGCUCUAUGAGAAGGCUGCUGAGCUAACAGGUCUGCCUUGGCAUAAAUGUCUAGAAGAGCAUGUGUCUCCUGGAGUAUGGGGACAUUUGUGUUUCCAUAAAUUGGCAGCUGCUUCUGGUUAGAGACUUCUAAAAGGUCUGGAAUACUGGAAUACUGGUAUAGUCCAAAAGGGGAAGAUGAAAAGGAGCCGUGGAACAUUGUACCAGGAAGAAGAUGGGACAUUACUCUCCGCAUGCCCUGGAGCUUUCGGAAGACGUAUAAGAGGAUCUUAGUUUCCAUAGCUCCACAUGAAAGAGCAAGCAGGGCUGCUGAUGUCCACUGUGGGCUCCAAGUGAGGGACUGGCCCAUGGGCAGGAGGUGAGGGAGACUUACUUGCUUUUCUCUGAGCUGGUCCACAGGAGCAGAGGAGACUGGGGUGAGCCUCACUCCAGAAUACUUGUAGAGUAUGUGACACCGGUUACCAACCUUGGCUCCACAAAAAUUACCUGUGAACCUUCUAAAAUACACAUAAGAAAUUCUUACUGAAUUGAACUGGGACGAGAUUCCACGUAUCAGGAUUCUGUAAAAGCUCCCCCAGUGACUCAAGAUGAAGUCCGGGUUGAAGACCAGUGAUAUGCAGGAAAUGUGUCCUGUGAUUUGAAACCACAUUCCAUUUGUCAAGCAAGACACUACGGCCACAUAAUGGAGAUCUACUUCCAU